rnacentral:rRNA from 1 species
UACGUAGGGUGCAAGCGUUGUCCGGAAUUAUUGGGCGUAAAGAGCUCGUAGGCGGUCUGUCGCGUCGGCUGUGAAAUCCCGAGGCUCAACCUCGGGUCUGCAGUCGAUACGGGCAAACUAGAGUACUGCAGGGGAGACUGGAAUUCCUGGUGUAGCGGUGAAAUGCGCAGAUAUCAGGAGGAACACCGGUGGCGAAGGCGGGGCUCUGGGCAGUAACUGACGCUGAGGAGCGAAAGCGUGGGGAGCAAACAGG